UACACGAAUUGCCACCCACACAUCACCUCCCCUUAGUGUGACACAUAAUCCCAUUAUGCAGGACACAGUUCCCCUUGUUUUCUGGAUGUACCCCUAAACCUAGGAGAACCCAUUUAAAUAUUACAUUCCCUGGUAGCCCUGAUCUGGGUGAGACACAUAUCCAAAAAUCACCCAGAUCGGACCAGGGGUUCGGGAAAUUCCUGGAAGUACUAAAAAGACCAACCGCGCUGGGGUUAACAGCCGAAAAGGGUUCCAUGUAUUUUGGCCCUGCGGUCGGUCACAGAAAAGGGAAGGAAACACACAAAUGGCUUGGGUUAUGAGAGCUGGGGAGGAUUCGGGUAAAUCCCCUUGUUCGCGGGGUUCUUUCUACUGAACAGGAAGCCGUUCGGUAGUUUUUACACUAAUUGGCGGCAGUGUGGAGGUCUCAGCGGUGUUUGGCUAACCGAGUGUCCGAUUUGGGCUCCAGACACUUGACGGCAAAACACUGCUGUUCGGGAGUUUAAAAUGGCCACCGCCACGUGUUCGUCUCCCGAAUGGCAGCCACCCAGAGGACAAAGAACACACUACAUGAAUUGCCAAUUACCCAUUUGCAACAUUGUUGUGAACAGUAAUUGAAUGCACACUUACUCCUAGGGUGGCCUGAUUGUUCGGUAGUUUCACUCGCAUAAUAACUGGAGUGAUUUUACCGAACAAUCAAACGAAUGCUGCUUACACUUCACAUACACAUGGCACAAUUUAACCAAACACAUAGGAAUAUACAUAAUUUUGAGGACAGCCCAAUGCCAUCCGCUACAC